rnacentral:rRNA from 1 species
UACGGAGGGGGCUAGCGUUGUUCGGAAUUACUGGGCGUAAAGCGCGCGUAGGCGGACCUGCAAGUCGGGGGUGAAAGCCCGAGGCUCAACCUCGGAACUGCCUUCGAUACUGCGGGUCUCGAGUCCGGGAGAGGUGAGUGGAAUUCCUAGUAUAGAGGUGAAAUUCGUAGAUAUUAGGAAGAACACCAGUGGCGAAGGCGGCUCACUGGCCCGGUACUGACGCUGAGGCACGAAAGCUAGGGGAGCAAACAGG